GCUUCAUUGGAAUGUCUUUAGCACGGGGCCCCAGGCAAAUGUUCUGCUUGCUACUCCCUAAUGCUGGCCCUGACUUUUAUAUGCAGAAAACCAGUUAUUGUGGCAUAGGUGGGCUGU